rnacentral:misc_RNA from 1 species
GAUGAAGAACGCAGCGAAAUGCGAUAAGUAAUGUGAAUUGCAGAAUUCAGUGAAUCAUCGAAUCUUUGAACGCACAUUGCGCCCGCCAGUAUUCUGGCGGGCAUGCCUGUUCGAGCGUCAUUUCAACCGUCAAGCCCCAGGCUUGUGUUGGGGACCUGCGGCUGCCGCAGGCCCUGAAAACCAGUGGCGGGCUCGCUGUCACACCGGGCGUAGUAGAUUUUAUCUCGCUCAGGGCGUGCUGCGGGUUCCGGCCGUUAAAAAGCCUUUUUUACCCAAGGUUGACCUCGGAUCAGGUAGGAAGACCCGCUGAACUUAAGCAUAUCAAUAAGCGGAGGA